AAAGCGUGCGCAGGCGGUUUUGUAAGUUUGUCGUGAAAUCCCCUGGCUCAACCUGGGAAUGGCGAUGAAGACUGCAAGGCUAGAGUUUGGCAGAGGGGGGUAGAAUUCCACGUGUAGCAGUGAAAUGCGUAGAUAUGUGGAGGAACACCGAUGGCGAAGGCAGCCCCCUGGGUCAAAACUGACGCUCAUGCACGAAAGCGUGGGGAGCAAACAGGAUUAGAUACCCCAGU
rnacentral:rRNA from 1 species